CCACCAGACUCCUACGGGAGGCAGCAGUGGGGCCUCUUGCACAAUGGGGGGAACCCUGCUGCCGCGACGCCGCGUGGGUGAAGGAGUAUUUCGGUAUGUACCGCCCUAUCAGCAGGGCAGCACAAUGACGGUCCCUGACUAAGAAGCACCGGCUAAAUACGUGCCAGCAGCCGCGGUAAUACGUAUGGUGCAAGCGGUAUCCGGAUUUACUGGGUGUAAAGGGAGCGCAGGCGGCGCGGUAAGCCUGGUGUGAAAGCCCGCGGCCCAACCGCGGGACUGCAUUGGGAACUGGCGCGCUGGAGUGCCGGAGGGGUAGGCGGAAUUCCUAGUGUAGCGGUGAAAUGCGUAGAUAUUAGGAGGAACACCAGUGGCGAAGGCGGCCUACUGGACGGUGACUGACGCUGAGGCUCGAAAUCGUGGGGAGCAAACAGGAUUAGAUACCCCGGUA
rnacentral:rRNA from 1 species